AAUCUGGUUGAUCCUGCCAGAGGCGACCGCUUUUGGAGUUCGAUUAAGCCAUGCGAGUCGAGAGCUUUCGGAGCUCGGCAUACUGCUCAGUAACACGUGGAUAACCUGCCCUAUUGUCUGGAAUAACCUCGGGAAACUGAGAACAAUACCGGAUAACCCACAAUGCCUGGAACGGUUUGUGGGUGAACUGAUAGGAUGGGUCUGCGGCGUAUCAGGUCGUAGGGGGUGUAAUGGACCUCCUAGCCAUCGACGCGUACGGGUGUUGGGAGACAUAGCCCGGAGAUGGAUUCUGAGACACGAAUCCAGACCCUACGGGGUGCAGCAGGCGCGAAAACUUCACACUGCAGGAAACUGUGAUGAGGGAACUCCAAGUGACUGCACAAUGUGUAGCCUUUUCUUGACUUUUAAUCGGUCUUGGAAUAAGGGCUGGGAAAGACCGGUGCCAGCCGCCGCGGUAAUACCGGCAGCUCAAGUGGUCGUCGCUUUUAUUGGGCCUAAAACGUCCGUAGCCUGUUUGGUAAAUCUGUGGGUAAAUCAACCAGCUUAACUGGUUGAAUUCUGCAGAGACUGCCAGACUAGGGACCGGGAGAGGUGUGGGGUACUCGAGGGGUAGGGGUAAAAUCCUGUCAUCCUUAGAGGACCACCAGUUGCGAAGGCGCCACACUGGAACGGAUCCGA
rnacentral:rRNA from 1 species